CAUGGUGGGGGUUGGAAAGAUUUAUCGGUGAAGGAUGGACUCGCGGCCUAUCAGUUUGUUGGUGAGGUAAUGGCUCACCAAGACGAUGACGGGUAGCCGGCCUGAGAGGGCGACCGGCCACACUGGGACUGAGACACGGCCCAGACUCCUACGGGAGGCAGCAGUGGGGAAUAUUGCACAAUGGGCGAAAGCCUGAUGCAGCGACGCCGCGUGGGGGAUGACGGCCUUCGGGUUGUAAACCUCUUUCAGUAGGGAAGAAGCGAAAGUGACGGUACCUGCAGAAGAAGCGCCGGCUAACUACGUGCCAGCAGCCGCGGUAAUACGUAGGGCGCAAGCGUUGUCCGGAAUUAUUGGGCGUAAAGGGCUCGUAGGUGGCUUGUCGCGUCUGCCGUGAAAACCCGAGGCUCAACCUCGGGCGUGCGGUGGGUACGGGCAGGCUAGAGUGUGGUAGGGGAGACUGGAACUCCUGGUGUAGCGGUGAAAUGCGCAGAUAUCAGGAAGAACACCGAUGGCGAAGGCAGGUCUCUGGGCCAUUACUGACACUGAGGAGCGAAAGCAUGGGUAGCGAACAGGAUUAGAUACCCUGGUAGUCCAUGCCGUAAACGUUGGGCACUAGAUGUGGGGGACAUUCCACGUUUUCCGCGUCGUAGCUAACGCAUUAAGUGCCCCGCCUGGGGAGUACGGCCGCAAGGCUAAAACUCAAAGGAAUUGACGGGGGCCCGCACAAGCGGCGGAGCAUGCUGAUUAAUUCGAUGCAACGCGAAGAACCUUACCAAGGCUUGACAUGCACCGGACGGCCGCAGAGAUGUGGCUUUCUUCGGACUGGUGCACAGGUGGUGCAUGGUUGUCGUCAGCUCGUGUCGUGAGAUGUUGGGUUAAGUCCCGCAACGAGCGCAACCCUUGUUCUAUGUUGCCAGCACGUCAUGGUGGGGACUCAUAGGAGACUGCCGGGGUCAACUCGGAGGAAGGUGGGGACGACGUCAAAUCAUCAUGCCCCUUAUGUCUUGGGCUUCAAGCAUGCUACAAUGGUCGGUACAAUGGGUUGCGAAACUGUGAGGUGGAGCGAAUCCCAAAAAGCCGGCCUCAGUUCGGAUUGGGGUCUGCAACUCGACCCCAUGAAGUCGGAGUCGCUAGUAAUCGCAGAUCAGCAACG
rnacentral:rRNA from 1 species